rnacentral:rRNA from 1 species
UACGUAGGGGGCGAGCGUUAAUCGGAAUUACUGGGCGUAAAGCGUGCGCAGGCGGUUGUGUAAGUCAGUUGUGAAAUCCCCGGGCUUAACCUGGGAAUGGCAUUUGGGACUGCAAGGCUCGAGUGCGGCAGAGGAGACUGGAAUUCCUGGUGUAGCAGUGAAAUGCGUAGAUAUCAGGAGGAAUACCGAUGGCGAAGGCAGGUCUCUGGGCCACUACUGACGCUGAGAAGCGAAAGCAUGGGGAGCGAACAGG